GUAAGUCAGCUGUGACCCUGAGGAUGGGUGAGGAAGGGCAUUGCACCUUUUGCCUCUACAGUGGAUAUGGUGUUUUGCAUUCAUCAAGCCUAAGCAAACUUUUUCAUAAAGUUAGACUAUAUGGAGAGAGGAGUUUUAAAGGACCAUAUUGCGACUGAAACAAGGCAUAACAGGUCUUUGACUGGCUAUCCUGUGGAUGUGGACUCAGGCUAGCCUGCGCAAAGUGAAAGACAGGCAAUUAGAUUGAAAAAUACCUGUGAUUCAAAGAAGUCACAAGUCACAGAGACAAACUUUUCCCAGUGUGUUCGAGUCAGAGAACCUUUGCAAAGACCAACAGGCUAAAAGAGAAAAUACAAUGUCAUAUGGAGAAGCUUUGAGAACACUAUGCUAAGUGAAAGAAGCCAGAUACAAAAGACCAUAUGCUGUAUGAUUCUAUUUAUAUGAAAUGUCCAGAAUAGGCAAAGCCAUAGAAACAGAAAGUAGGACACAGCUAGAAUAUGUUUCCAAGCCUCCCCAACACGUGUGACUGUGUAUAAUUGAGUUCUAACCACAGGAAGCUUGAUGCAGAUGAGCAGGUAACCAUGGAAGUCGUGAGCUGAGGCUGCAGAGUCUAGAGCCAGAGUGUGGAAUAAACUUGGGUCUCAAAUCACCCCUGGAGCAAAGCACCCAUCUAAUCAGGAACUUCUACUUUCAACUUUACAUGCGUGAGAAAUGAACUUCUAUCAUGUUAGAGAAAUCCUUACACGGCGCCCUUGAGAGCUUUCAUACUGCAAGUCAUCCAUUUUCCUCCCCUCAAACCUGGCAUCGGAGUUUAUUGAAAC
rnacentral:lncRNA from 1 species